rnacentral:rRNA from 1 species
GUUUGAUCAUGGCUCAGAUUGAACGUUGGCGGCACGCCUAAUACAUGCAAGUCGAACGAGAAAGUACCUUCGGGUAUGAGUACAGUGGCGGACGGGUGAGUAACGCGUAGGAAUCUACCUUCAGGUGGGGGACAACUCGGGGAAACUCGAGCUAAUACCGCAUAAUACCUAAGGGUUAAAGUGGGGGAUCUUCGGACCUCACGCCAGGAGAGGAGCCUGCGUUGGAUUAGCUAGUUGGUGGGG